AGCGAACGCUGGCGGCAGGCCUAAUACAUGCAAGUCGAGCGGGUCCUUCGGGAUUAGCGGCGGACGGGUGAGUAACGCGUGGGAACGUGCCCUUUGGUACGGAACAACUGAGGGAAACUUCAGCUAAUACCGUAUGUGCCCUUCGGGGGAAAGAUUUAUCGCCAUUGGAGCGGCCCGCGUUGGAUUAGGUAGUUGGUGAGGUAAAGGCUCACCAAGCCUACGAUCCAUAGCUGGUCUGAGAGGAUGACCAGCCACACUGGGACUGAGACACGGCCCAGACUCCUACGGGAGGCAGCAGUAGGGAAUCUUGCGCAAUGGGCGAAAGCCUGACGCAGCCAUGCCGCGUGAAUGAUGAAGGUCUUAGGAUUGUAAAAUUCUUUCACCGGGGACGAUAAUGACGGUACCCGGAGAAGAAGCCCCGGCUAACUUCGUGCCAGCAGCCGCGGUAAUACGAAGGGGGCUAGCGUUGCUCGGAAUUACUGGGCGUAAAGGGAGCGUAGGCGGAUAGUUUAGUCAGAGGUGAAAGCCCAGGGCUCAACCUUGGAA
rnacentral:rRNA from 1 species